rnacentral:rRNA from 1 species
UACGGGGGGGGCAAGCGUUGUUCGGAAUUACUGGGCGUAAAGGGCGCGUAGGCGGCCUUCUAAGUCGGACGUGAAAUCCCUCGGCUUAACCGAGGAACUGCGUCCGAGACUGAAAGGCUUGAAUCCGGGAGAGGGAUGUGGAAUUCCAGGUGUAGCGGUGAAAUGCGCAGAUAUCGGGAGGAACACCAAUUGCGAAGGCAGCUCGCUGGGACGUCACUGACGCUGAGACGCGAAAGCGUGGGGAGCAAACAGG